GAUGAACGCUGGCGGCAUGCCUAAUACAUGCAAGUCGAACGAGAGGAAGGAAAGCUUGCUUUCCUGAAUCUAGUGGCGAACGGGUGAGUAACACGUAGGUAACCUGCCCAUGUGCCCGGGAUAACUUCUGGAAACGGAUGCUAAAACCGGAUAGGUAGCAGACAAGCAUUUGACUGCUAUUAAAGUGGCCUUGGCCAUGAACAUGGAUGGACCUGCGGUGCAUUAGCUAGUUGGUGAGGUAACGGCCCACCGAGGCGACGAUGCAUAGCCGGCCUGAGAAGGCGGACGGCCACAUUGGGACUGAGACACGGCCCAAACUCCUACGGGAGGCAGCAGUAGGGAAUUUUCGUCAAUGGGGGGAACCCUGAACGAGCAAUGCCGCGUGAGUGAGGAAUGUCUUCGGAUCGUAAAGCUCUGUUGUAAGAGAAAAACGGCACUUAUAGGGAAUGAUGAGUGAGUGAUGGUAUCUUACCAGAAAGUCACGGCUAACUACGUGCCAGCCGCCGCAGUAAUAC
rnacentral:rRNA from 1 species